rnacentral:lncRNA from 1 species
UGCAAAGCAAAUUACCCGUCAUGAGUCCAGCCGUCACGGGCUUAACUAGUGCCAUUUGUGCUAGGGCUUUGGAUGGCGUCUCCACAUCGUGCCCUCUGGUGAGAUGCACUUAGCGCCGACUCCCCCCCCCACCCCCCCCGUCUGCUCCAGUGUGUGUGUGUCAUCGUGACUGUGGGGCCUAAAAUGAGGAAGAAGCCUUCUGCUAUCUUCAGCCAAGGGCUCAGAACUUGGCCCUUGUUAGGUUGGGUGGCCAGUACGAGAUGCUCAGUGAACUUUUUGAAAUUCAAAUUUCACAUAGCUCUGGAUUGUCGUUUUAUUUUUUGGUUUUGUUUUUCUUUUUUAUUUGUUUUUGGUGCGUGUGUGUGUAAGUUCAAAUGCAUAUGGAAGCCAGGGGUGGUGACCUUGGUUGUCAUUCUUUAGGUGCUGUCCAAUGUGUAUACGCAUGUGCACACCUGUCUUUCUGUCUGUCUGAGCCUGAAACUCAAAUAGGCUGGACUGCCAGCCCAGCCAGCCCCAGGAACACAUCUCUGUCUGCUUUCCCAGUGCUGAAGUCACAAGUGUGCCCUCAGCAUUAACUUGCUCACCUAGGUUCUAAGGAUUUCCUUUGCCCCAUUUGGAAUGGCGGUUGGUGGUGGCGGCAGCGGCUUGGUUUGAGAUAGACAUUCAAACUCACACUGUAGUGCAGGUUGGCUUCAAAACCACUGUGUAGCCAAGGCUGGACUUGGGCUCCUGAUUCACUUGUUUCCACGUCCCACGGGCUGAGAUUACAGGCAU